UACGGAGGGGGCAAGCGUUGUCCGGAAUCACUGGGCGUAAAGGGCGCGUAGGCGGCUCAUGAAGGCUGUGGUGAAAGCCCCGGGCUUAACCUGGGAAUGGCCGUUGAAACUGGCGAACUGGAGUGUGGCAGAGGGGGGUGGAAUUCCGCGUGUAGCAGUGAAAUGCGUAGAGAUGCGGAGGAACACCGAUGGCGAAGGCAGCCCCCUGGGCUAACACUGACGCUCAGGCACGAAAGCGUGGGGAGCAAACAGG
rnacentral:rRNA from 1 species